UACGGGGGGGGCAAGCGUUGUUCGGAAUUACUGGGCGUAAAGGGCUCGUAGGCGGCCAACUAAGUCAGACGUGAAAUCCCUCGGCUUAACCGGGGAACUGCGUCUGAUACUGGAUGGCUUGAGAUUGGGAGAGGGAUGCGGAAUUCCAGGUGUAGCGGUGAAAUGCGCAGAUAUCAGGAAGAACACCCGUGGCGAAAGCGGCUCUCUGGAACGGUACUGACGCUGAGACGCGAAAGCGUGGGGAGCGAACAGG
rnacentral:rRNA from 1 species